CUUUUGGGUAGGGGUAAGACUGCCUACAUAUUACCCUCCCCAGACCCCACCUGGUGGGAGUAUACUGGGUAGUUGUUGUUGUUGUUGUUGUUGAGUUUGCCAAAAAUAACAAGAGUGAAGAAGAGUCUCCCUUAUUGCAGUAUCCGAUAAUGGUAAAAAAAGCAAUACAUGUAUUUGAACAAAUUGCGCAAGUUGUAACCAAUGUUGUAAGCUACCGAGUUUCUUUAUUUUACCAAUUUCGUAA
rnacentral:lncRNA from 1 species